rnacentral:lncRNA from 1 species
GUGCUGCAGGCUGCGCUCCUAUCAGGGGCCACAUUCAGACAUGGCCGCUCCUCCUCAGUACUACAGCAGCAGGCAGACCCUGGUGGGAUCUUCGUGUCUGGAGCACAUCGUUGAUGACAGCAGCACUCAGGCGGGUCAGAUGUUCUAUGUCGGCCUGCCCUCCAGCUACAGCCUUCCCACUCUGGAGGCCCCCCUGCCGAGGCUCCCCUCCUAUGAGAGCGUCCGAAAGAAGGACCGCCAGAGGCAGAUCCACAUGAUGAUCGCAGAUCGUUUUGGGCUCAAUGGACCCAUUGUGACUGAGCCUCCUCCAACAUAUGAAGAAAGCAUCCGUCAGUCUGUGGAGCUUCCGUACGACAUCGUCCCGUCCAGCCUGGACGUCUCUGCUCUGAGAGAACCCGCCCUCCACCCUGACACCGCUCAUCCAACCACCACCUCUGAAUCCAACAUCACCGUGCUUCCUGUGUGAACGAUCACACAUCACUCGCACCUCAGAUACCUCAAGACUGUUGGACGGCUGAUGUUGAUCAUGAGCUGAGGAGAAACCAAAAAGCAGCUGCACGCCCCCCAGUGGACACACGUGAAUGUUAAAUAUACUUCUGCUCCACCAUGACACACUGGAUACUCAUGAAGGCGUGCGGCUGGUACAUCCUGAAGAGGAUGAAACUCACCAAAAAGGGGCACCACUAUUAUCACUGAAUGGAUCGUUUGUGUUUUAAUUCUGCUGAUUCUGAGCUACAAACCUCACUGACUUUUUAAUGAGGCUUCCUUAACACGACCUCCUGGUGCUGAUGAGAGUGCCUUCAGGAAGUGAAGCUAUGUUCUGUGAAGGCAGCUGGAGGUGAUGGAGUUCAUUUUUUAUAAGGC